CAGCAGUGGGGAAUAUUGGACAAUGGGGGGAACCCUGAUCCAGCCAUGCCGCGUGUGUGAAGAAGGCCUUUUGGUUGUAAAGCACUUUAAGCGAGGAGGAGGCUGUUCUAGUUAAUACCUAGGAUGAGUGGACGUUACUCGCAGAAUAAGCACCGGCUAAUUCUGUGCCAGCAGCCGCGGUAAUACUAAGGGUGCGAGCGUUAAUCGGAUUUACUGGGGGUAAAGCGGGGGUAGUGGGUUUUUUAAGUAGGAUGUGAAAUCCCUGAGCUUAACUUGGGAAUUGCAUUCGAUACUGGGAAGCUAGAGUAUGGGAGAGGAUGGUAGAAUUCCAGGUGUAGCGGUGAAAUGCGUAGAGAUCUGGAGGAAUACCGAUGGCGAAGGCAGCCAUCUGGCCUAAUACUGACGCUGAGGUACGAAAGCAUGGGGAGCAAACAGGAUUAGAUACCCUGGUAGUCCACGCCGUAAACGAUGUAUACUAGCCGUUGGGGCCUAUGAGGCUUUAGUGGCGCAGCUAACGCGAUAAGUAGA
rnacentral:rRNA from 1 species